GAUUAAGAACGCAGCGAAAUGCGAUAAGUAGUGUGAAUUGCAGAAUUCAGUGAAUCAUCGAAUCUUUGAACGCACAUUGCGCCCGCCAGUAUUCUGGCGGGCAUGCCUGUUCGAGCGUCAUUACAACCCUCAGGCCCCCGGGCCUGGCGUUGGGGAUCGGCGGAAGCCCCCUGCGGGCACAACGCCGUCCCCCAAAUACAGUGGCGGUCCCGCCGCAGCUUCCAUUGCGUAGUAGCUAACACCUCGCAACUGGAGAGCGGCGCGGCCACGCCGUAAAACACCCAACUUCUGAAUGUUGACCUCGAAUCAGGUAGGAAUACCCGCUGAACUUAAGCAUAUCAAUAAGCGGAGGA
rnacentral:misc_RNA from 1 species